rnacentral:rRNA from 1 species
UCCAGCAGCCAUAUCACCCUGCAGCUCACAACUGGCAGUCCACUGAAGCUCAGCAGGUGAGAGCCUGGUCAGUCCCUGGAUGGGAGACCUCCUGGGAAAACCAAGGUUGCUGCUAAAG